AAUCAACGCUGGCGGCGUGCCUCAGACAUGCAAGUCGAACGAUUAAGACUCCCUUCGGGGAGUGCAUAAAGUGGCGCACGGGUGAGUAACACGUAAGUAAUCUACCUUUGAGUGGGGAAUAACAACCGGAAACGGUUGCUAAUACCGCAUAAUGCAGCGGCACCGCAAGGUGACAGUUGUUAAAGAUUUAUCGCUUAAAGAGGAGCUUGCGGCAGAUUAGCUAGUUGGUAAGGUAAUGGCUUACCAAGGCUACGAUCUGUAACCGGUCUAAGAGGACGGUCGGUCACACUGACACUGAAUAACGGGUCAGACUCCUGCGGGAGGCAGCAGUCGGGAAUUUUAGGCAAUGGGCGAAAGCCUGACCCAGCAACGCCGCGUGAAGGAUGAAGUAUUUCGGUAUGUAAACUUCGAAAGAAUGGGAAGAAUAAAUGACGGUACCAUUUAUAAGGUCCGGCUAACUACGUGCCAGCAGCCGCCGUAAGAC
rnacentral:rRNA from 1 species